CGCAGCGCGACGCCGACGCUGACUAGGGAGGCGCCUCGACGGGCUGCCCCCUCCCUGGCGAGGCGUGGGCCUGUCCCGGGAGCAGGCUGCUGCAGUUUGACCAGGCGCAUUGCGGAUCAGUUGGUGUUCUUGCCAGAGGCCUAGCAGCAACUUCCUAGCGCUACUACUUGCACCUCCCAAGGCAGCUGAGCCUCCCCACUUCUCUGGCCAGACACACUCCUACCGUGCAUCGUAGAACCACCUCUCUGACGCCAGCAGGACCUUAGUAAGAGUAAUGGGUAUGCGACAGAUGGCUGUAGUCAGGCCCUACUGAUUUCAAAAUAGCUAAAAGACUAUCUCUGUAGUUAGCUUUUGUGGCCUUGAUGGACCUGCAGCUGUGUAUUGUUCCCUCAGACAUACAAAUUCGUGGAGAUGAGUUAUGAAAGUAUUUAGUAUCCAAGUUUUUCAUCUGCUUAAUAUUUGGGAUUUCAAACACAAGUUUUGCCAGCUAGGGGUCAACAUCCCUGAAAGUGUUAGGGAUGGAGCUAGCUGACAGGCCUUUCUAAAAGAACAGAGAGCCUGGUGAAGAGAUGAAAAAUCAAUCUCACUUGAUACUCCUGUUAAAAACAACAACAAACCUUUAAAUAGCUCUCUACUAACACAUAACUCAAAUCCGAUCAAAUCUACCUGACCUUUACCAUUGUUUUCUGUAUUCAUCAACUAUUACUGAGUACUUCAAAGUCAGGCAAUAGGAGUUAAUAAAACAGAUGAAACUUGA